GCCCCCGAAAGUUUUUGCGACGGAGUUUUCCCUCUUGUUGCCCAGGCUGAAGUGCAAUGGCGCGAUCUCGGCUCACCGCAACCUCCGCCUCCAAGGUUUAAGCGAUUCUCCUGCCUCAGCCUCCCGACUAGCUGGGAUUACAGGCAUUCACCACCAAGCCCGUCUAAUUUUAUAUUUUUAGUAGAGACGGGAUUUCCCCAUGUUGGUCAGGUUGGUCUCGAGCUCCCGACCUCAGGUGAUCGCCCGCCUCGACCUCCCAAAGUGCUGGGAUUACAGGCGUGAACCACCGUGCCCGGCCUUGGCCGCAUGUGUUUUGAAUUUUGCUGCCCGGAAUUCACUGCGAGGACUGGGAUCACCCGUCACCCCGCCCUGGUCUACGGAAAAUGAAAUGUGUUUACUGAUAUAGAAACGGAAUAACGGCGCUGUGGGCUGGGGAGGGCCGAGCUGCCUUCAGGCUUCUGGUCUCCAGCUGCAGGGCACUCACACCUGCCCGUUAUGAAAAUGCAGACCCGCAGGGCAGGAAUUCCGAGUCCGGGCUGGAGCGUGAUCUGGAAUCCGGCUCUCUUGAAACAGCACCGCGGAGGAUUCGGAUCCGGUAGGGGAAAACCUGGAAGAUUCCUCACCAAAGUUUUGACAGUGACUCCAGAGACUGGGAUAACUUUGUGACUUUCAUUUCCUCUUAAAUGUUGUGCCAGGGUCUGACCGGCAGACCCAGGCUGCACGAUGGAUGAAUA
rnacentral:lncRNA from 10 species